AGAGUUUGAUCCUGGCUCAGAUUGAACGCUGGCGGCAUGGAUUAGGCAUGCAAGUCGAACGAGACGCUAUAGCUUGCUAUAGUUGAGAGUGGCGAAAGGGUGAGUAACAAGUGAGUAAUCUACCUCUAACUCGGGGAUAGCCCAUGGAAACGUGGAUUAAUACCGGAUGUGAAUUCAGAAUCGCAUGGUUCUGAGUUUAAAAUUUUUUGGUUGGAGAUGAGCUCGCUUCCCAUUAGCUUGUUGGUAAGGUAACGGCUUACCAAGGCUACGACGGGUAGGUGGUCUGAGAGGAUGGUCACCCACACUGGAACUGAGACACUGUCCAGACUCCUACGGGAGGCUGCAGUCGAGAAUCUUCCGCAAUGGACGAAAGUCCGACGGAGCGAUGCCGCGUGAAUGAUGAAGGCCUUCGGGUUGUAAAAUUCUGUCACCAGGGGCGAAAUUUGACGGUACCUGGAGAGGAAGUGACGGCUAACUACGUGCCAGCAGCCGCGGUAAUACGUAGGUCACGAGCGUUAAUCGGAUUUAUUGGGCGUAAAGGGUCCGCAGGGGGUUUGUUAAGUCUGAUGUGAAAGCCAACGGCUCAACCGUUGAACUGCAUUGGAAACUGACAAACUAGAGUAUCGGAGAGGUAAGUGGAAUUCUUGGUGUAGCGGUGGAAUGCUUAGAUAUCAAGAGGAACAUCAUUACCGAAGGCGGCUUACUGGACGAUUACUGACCCUCAUGGACGAAAGCGUGGGUAGCAAACAGGAUUAGAUACCCUGGUAGUCCACGCCGUAAACGGUCUAUACUAGAUGUGGGAGGAUUUGACCCCUUCCGUGUCCAAGCUAACGCGUUAAGUAUAGCGCCUGGGGAGUACGGUCGCAAGAUUAAAACUCAAAGGAAUUGACGGGGGCCCGCACAAGCGGUGGAGCAUGUGGCUUAAUUCGAGGCAACGCGAAGAACCUUACCUGGUCUUGACAUAUAUCUGACAGUUUCAGAGAUGAUUCCUUCUUUCGGGACAGAUAUACAGGUGCUGCAUGGCUGUCGUCAGCUCGUGCUGUGAAGUGUUCGGUUAAGUCCGGCAACGAGCGCAACCCACGUCGUUAGUUACUAACAGGUAAUGCUGAGGACUCUAGCGAGACUGCCCGUGACAAGCGGGAGGAAGGCGUGGAUGACGUCAAGUCAGUAUGGCCCUUACGACCAGGGCUGCACACGUGCUACAAUGGGUGGUACAGAAGGAAGCCAACCUGCGAAGGUGAGCAAAUCCCAAAAACCAUCCCCAGUUCGGAUUGGAGUCUGCAACUCGACUCCAUGAAGUCGGAAUCGCUAGUAAAGGCGUAUCAGCUACGACGCCUUGAAUACGUUCCCGGGCCUUGUACACACCGCCCGUCACAUCAUGGAAGCUGACUGCACCCGAAGUCGUUGGCCCAACCUGCUUGCAGGAGGGAGGCGCCGAAGGUGUGCUCAGUAGCUAGGAUGAAGUCGUAACAAGGUA
rnacentral:rRNA from 1 species